rnacentral:rRNA from 1 species
CCUACGGGCGGCUGCAGUGGGGAAUAUUGCACAAUGGGCGCAAGCCUGAUGCAGCCAUGCCGCGUGUGUGAAGAAGGCCUUCGGGUUGUAAAGCACUUUCAGCGGGGAGGAAGGCGUUAAGGUUAAUAACCUUGGCGAUUGACGUUACCCGCAGAAGAAGCACCGGCUAACUCCGUGCCAGCAGCCGCGGUAAUACGGAGGGUGCAAGCGUUAAUCGGAAUUACUGGGCGUAAAGCGCACGCAGGCGGUCUGUCAAGUCGGAUGUGAAAUCCCCGGGCUCAACCUGGGAACUGCAUUCGAAACUGGCAGGCUAGAGUCUUGUAGAGGGGGGUAGAAUUCCAGGUGUAGCGGUGAAAUGCGUAGAGAUCUGGAGGAAUACCGGUGGCGAAGGCGGCCCCCUGGACAGAGACUGACGCUCAGGUGCGAAAGCGUGGGGAGCAAACAGGAUUAGAUACCCUAGUAGUC